GUGAACCACCACUGAGGUUAUGUCUCAUUCAUUCACCGGCUGAGGUUGCAGCCCGUGAGAUAAAUGCAAGCCCCGGAGUGCAGAAGUGCCCAGGCAGGGGAACACCUUCAACGUGGCCAGGCUAAUUUACACAUCCGCAUUUGAUUGGUGCUGACCCUUUCCAUCUCUUUCUUAGCCAAGGCCAACAUUACUCUGGCCUCUAAAAUGUGCUCCGUUUCUUACGACGAUCCAGGUAAGCUAAAAUGGUCUCACACCCUUUCCUCCUUGUCACCUUGCCAAUUUUUGUGGAUUAUGAUCUCUUCUUCCAUAUAAAUUGGGAACAGUACGGACAGUUACUUACUGUCACUCAUUUCAUAAACAUCCAUUUGACACCUACCCUGGCUUCUACAAGGAUGGGCUCCUGCCCGAGGACUUACUAACUCUUCCAGAGCUGCAAGUCCGGAUCUGGCAGGAGUCAUAGAACGCUGCACCCAAGCCCGCCCAGCAACAAAUGCCUGUCCUGGCUGGGGAAAGAGGGGAGAACCAGGAGCGAUCUGAAAACGUGUGCCGGUUUUCCUGUGCGGUUUGGGUCACUUACCAAAUGCAGGAAGAAACAAUUGCCACACCGAAUUAAGCCCGGUGACAUCUAAGAAAACUCUAUACACACUUUUCUGAGGGAGAAGCAACGUGUUUAAGAUCAAGGGAUUAGUUUAACUAAAGGUUUAAAUUCAGCCCUGGAGCCAAGGGGUAACUCUACUUUGAAAUUCCACUCCAUUUCAAGUUCAGGAACGUAAAUUGAGUAAUGGAGAGCAAACACACGCUAUCCUGAGAGGUGCGGCCAACCUGGAGUAUGAGAUACCGGACUCCUGAGACCAAACCAGAUACAACAUUUAAAUAAGACUUGACUAGAAGUUCAGGGAUAUUUCAUGAAGAAAUAAACUCAAUGGGAAGAACUUUAUCAUCUGUGAAAUGGGAAUGAAACUAUCUACCCUUUGGCACUGUUAGGAGAAUUCAGUGCAGCACAGGUACAUGGUAAGCACUCAAGAAAUAUAGUUACUGUAAUACUCCCAAGGAGCUAUUGAGAAACAAGGUCAAAGAUUUAUGCACACAAAUAUUCACUGCAACAUUUUAAAAAUAAAACUAGAAAAAAGAAACCCAAAUGCAGAACAAUGGAAAACUAAAUUAUGGUUCACUCAAACAAUGGAAUAUUGUUCUUCUAUUUAAAAUAAAAACAACCUAUCUUUACCAACCUUCUUCAUGACAUGAAAAAUGUUUUUUGAAACAAUGCUUACCAAAUAAAACAGAAUAGAAACUUGAUAGGUCACAAUA